UGGGGAAUAUUGGACAAUGGGCGCAAGCCUGAUCCAGCCAUGCCGCGUGUGUGAUGAAGGCCUUAGGGUUGUAAAGCACUUUCGCCGAUGAAGAUAAUGACUGUAGUCGGAGAAGAAGCCCCGGCUAACUUCGUGCCAGCAGCCGCGGUAAUACGAAGGGGGCAAGCGUUGUUCGGAUUUACUGGGCGUAAAGCGUACGUAGGCGGAUGAUUAAGUCAGGGGUGAAAUCCCGGGGCUCAACCUCGGAACUGCCUUUGAUACUGGUCGUCUUGAGUCCGGGAGAGGUGAGUGGAACUCCUAGUGUAGAGGUGAAAUUCGUAGAUAUUAGGAAGAACACCAGUGGCGAAGGCGGCUCACUGGCCCGGAACUGACGCUGAGGUACGAAAGCGUGGGGAGCAAACAGG
rnacentral:rRNA from 1 species